ensembl:lncRNA
GAUUCUGAAACUGAUGGUAAUGGCUUAUUUACAGGAGUGGUGGAGAAGAAGACCUUGAUUGAUUUCAAACUCUGAACGUGUUGAGGGGUGGGAGGAUGUCUUGUGAGUGACUGAGGGCCUGAUGUUCUGUCCCUCACUAUACACCCCCAAGACCACAGCUCAUACUUCAUCAUGAACUGCCUGCUGAACACCUGAAGUUUCAAUACCAGCGAUGACCAACAGUUCUGUAAUGUCUCUUCAUCUGUCAUUCAAUGUACUUUUUUAUAUUAAGGAUUAAAUUAUUCUUAAAGGGGUGAUAUCAUGAUUUUUCAAGUUUCCCUUUGCUUUAGACUGUUAUAUGAUAUAUGUAUACAUGUUUUACGUCUACUAAGCUAGACAAAUCUAACUCAAAGCCAGGGGAGUAUUCGCUUCCGACGAGAAUGCCCCUCAAUAAGUGUGUGAAAUGUUUGUUGUUUGCGCACAAACUUUACUUCCAUAACAGUGUGACGUCAGACUGUUUGGUGGGCAGUGCAGAAGUCCCGCCUCACAGCUACCCGCAAUGUUUACUUCUCAGCUUCUCAACAUCUCGGGGUGUGAAUUUGCCAACACACCCGCAAACAUGCUGACCAAUCACGGCAGACUGGGCUACUCGGGAGGAGAGCCGCACUGACAGGACAAAGUCAACAGGAGAGCCAUUUUUACCGCAAAGUAUCACAACCUAUCAAUCCAGUCAUACACAAGUUUGCCUGCUUAUUAAUGUGUCAUCCCUGAAGCAGUGUUUCCCACAGAAUGUUGUGAAACUGUGGAGGGAACCCAGUCCUUAGGGGGGUCCGGGGGCAUGCUCCCCCGGAAGAACAUUCGGUACCUUUUAACCUAGAAUGCAUCAAUCUGGUGCACUUUCAGGAAAAUUAAGACUAGUGUGACUGCGCUAUUUUCUGGAAUAAUGUGGAGACACUGGAUCACAUAACAUGGAAGCCAUUAAAGAAUAAGUUAUUACUUUUUAUUAAAAUGAUUUGUAAAAAAUAUCAAUGAAUACGAGUGUGUUCAUAGGAUACCCCCCUUCAAUAAUAAUUUUUUUACCAUUAAAUGUAAAAUGCAUCAAUUUGGUGCACUUUGAGAGGAAAAUUAAGAGGCUAAUUCAACUGUGUCCUAUGUGAGCUGUUUAGUAUUAUCUGCAUGAUCAUAUCACUGUAUAUUUUUACUGCCAUGCGAGCCGCAAAUAUAGGUUUGGUGAGCCGUGCAAUGAGUAGCGCUGCCCUAACCCUAGAACCCUAACUCUAGUUCCUUAAGCCCUAGCACAUUAACCCUAGUACCCUAACUCUAGUACCCUAACCAUUGUCCCCGAACCCUAUUACCCUAACCCUAUUACCCUAACCCUAGUACCCUAAUCCUCCUACCCUCAUCCUAGUACCCUAACCCUAGUACCCUAAUCCUAGUACCCUCAUCCUAGUACCCUAACCCUAGUACCCUAACCCUAACCCUAACCCUAGUACCCUAACCCUAACCGUAGUACCCUAACCCUAGAACCUUUACCCUAGUACCUUAACCCUAGUACCUUAACUCUAGUACCAUAACCCUAGUACCUCAACCCUAGUACCCUAACCCUAGUACCCUAACUCUGGUACCCUAACCCUAGUCCCUUAACCCCAAUACCCUAACCCUGGUACCCUUACCCUAGUACCCUACUCACUGGGAGAAAAGAGUGCUUAAAUAAACAGCGUUGACCCUUCCAUAAAGGUCUCCGCGAUUCACCAUUGCCCAGAUUAGCUUGUGGAACAUGUAACCCUGCAUACCACAGAUGAUAGCUUGUGAAAUGUCUAACACUGCAUGCCAGAUAUACCACAGAUGGUGGCUUGUGGAACAUGCAACCCUGCAUACUAGAGUAUGUUGAUGAGACUUGACCUGUAUUGCAGCGGAUAUGAGGUCCCAUGUUGAUCCAGAUGGUGAAUGGAAAAUAUGAUCAAUCCAUUUAUGCUGGGAUCCUACUUGCACUUUCAUGCCUGUAAAUAUAGUACACAUUGUAUGUACAGUACAUAUAGUAAAUUGUAUGUGUAGUACAUAUAGUACAUUGUAUCUGUCCUUGGUUGACUGUAAACACAGUAUUAGUAAUCAAGUGAAUGUCCAGAGGCUGAGUGAUGUCACACCACGCUAUGACCUUCCUUUAAAUUUGACACUAAUAAAUCCC